GGGGUUGUGGCUCAGCGGUAGAGCGCUCGCCUAGCAUGUGUGAAGCCCUGGGUUCGAUCUUCAGCACCACA
rnacentral:tRNA from 1 species